GUGGGGAAUCUUCCGCAAUGGACGAAAGUCUGACGGAGCGACGCCGCGUGAGUGAAGAAGGCCUUCGGGUCGUAAAGCUCUGUCAUCAGGGACGAACGGCCGGUGGAGUGGAAAGCCACCGGAUUGACGGUACCUGAGAAGGAAGCCACGGCUAACUACGUGCCAGCAGCCGCGGUAAUACGUAGGUGGCAAGCGUUGUCCGGACUUAUUGGGCGUAAAGCGCGCGCAGGUGGGAUCUUAAGUCCAUUUUGAAAGUUCGGAGCUCAACUCCGUGAUGGGAUGGAAACUGGGAUUCUUGAGUACCGGAUAGGAAAGCGGAAUUCCCCGUGUAGCGGUGAAAUGCGUAGAUAUGGGGAGGAACACCAGUGGCGAAGGCGGCUUUCUAGACGGUGUCUGACACUGAGGCGCGAAAGCUAGGGGAGCGAACGGGAUUAGAAACCCCGGUAGUCC
rnacentral:rRNA from 1 species